GGAAUAUUGGACAAUGGGCGCAAGCCUGAUCCAGCCAUGCCGCGUGGGUGAAGAAGGCCCUAGGGUUGUAAACCCCUUUCAGCGGGGAAGAUAAUGACGGUACCCGCAGAAGAAGCCCCGGCUAACUCCGUGCCAGCAGCCGCGGUAAUACGGAGGGGGCUAGCGUUAUUCGGAAUUACUGGUCGUAAAGCGCGCGUAGGCGGAUCUGCAAGUCGGGGGUGAAAUCCCUAGGCUCAACCUCGGAACUGCCUUCGAUACUGCAGAUCUCGAGUCCGAGAGAGGUGAGUGGAAUUCCUAGUGUAGAGGUGAAAUUCGUAGAUAUUAGGAAGAACACCAGUGGCGAAGGCGGCUCACUGGCUCGGUACUGACGCUGAGGCGCGAAAGCGUGGGGAGCAAAC
rnacentral:rRNA from 1 species